CCUACGGGAGGCAGCAGUGGGGAAUAUUGGACAAUGGGCGAAAGCCUGAUCCAGCCAUGCCGCGUGUGUGAAGAAGGCCUUCGGGUUGUAAAGCACUUUCAGUGGGGAAGAAAGCCUUGGGGCUAAUACCCUCGAGGAAGGACAUCACCCACAGAAGAAGCACCGGCUAACUCCGUGCCAGCAGCCGCGGUAAUACGGAGGGUGUGAGCGUUAAUCGGAAUUACUGGGCGUAAAGCGCGCGUAGGCGGUCUGAUAAGCCGGUUGUGAAAGCCCCGGGCUCAACCUGGGAACGGCAUCCGGAACUGUCAGGCUAGAGUGCAGGAGAGGAAGGUAGAAUUCCCGGUGUAGCGGUGAAAUGCGUAGAGAUCGGGAGGAAUACCAGUGGCGAAGGCGGCCUUCUGGACUGACACUGACGCUGAGGUGCGAAAGCGUGGGUAGCAAACAGGAUUAGAUACCCCGGUAGUC
rnacentral:rRNA from 1 species